AUGCAGUCGAGGGGUAUAGUAGCAAUACUAGAGACCGGCGCACGGGUGCGUAACGCGUAUGCAAUCUACCUUUUGCAGAGGGAUAGCCCAGAGAAAUUUGGAUUAAUACCUCAUAGUAUAGCUACUCGGCAUCGAGCUUCUAUUAAAGUCACAACGGCAAAAGAUGAGCAUGCGUCCCAUUAGCUAGUUGGUAAGGUAACGGCUUACCAAGGCCACGAUGGGUAGGGGUCCUGAGAGGGAGAUCCCCCACACUGGUACUGAGACACGGACCAGACUCCUACGGGAGGCAGCAGUGAGGAAUAUUGGACAAUGGGCGCAAGCCUGAUCCAGCCAUGCCGCGUGCAGGAUGACGGUCCUAUGGAUUGUAAACUGCUUUUAUACGAGAAGAAACACUCCUUCGUGAAGGAGCUUGACGGUAUCGUAAGAAUAAGGAUCGGCUAACUCCGUGCCAGCAGCCGCGGUAAUACGGAGGAUCCAAGCGUUAUCCGGAAUCAUUGGGUUUAAAGGGUCCGUAGGCGGUCUUAUAAGUCAGUGGUGAAAUCUCUCCGCUCAACGGGGAAACGGCCAUUGAUACUGUAGGACUUGAAUUAUUAGGAAGUAACUAGAAUAUGUAGUGUAGCGGUGAAAUGCUUAGAGAUUACAUGGAAUACCAAUUGCGAAGGCAGGUUACUACUAAUGGAUUGACGCUGAUGGACGAAAGCGUGGGUAGCGAACAGGAUUAGAUACCCUGGUAGUCCACGCCGU
rnacentral:rRNA from 1 species